AGCCCCGCCUUGGCACAGGGCUACUACACGCUGCGGCGGGCGGAGGGCGGUUUGACGCGCGGCGCCGGGACCGGGAGGAGAGGAGAGGAGCGGAGCGGAGCGGAGCGGGGGCCUCGGCCUCCAUGCCCCCUCCCCUCGGGGGAAGCGGCGCUGUCUGCCGCAAGCCGCAGAGAUGUGCUCCAAGGCGCCGAAGCUCGACGUUCCGUUCUGUUUUAAGCCAGCCAUGGAGGACAGCGGGUGACACCUUUUGUGUGCAUCAUCAGACUUGCAGCCUUGCAUUCACAGAGGGCCAAAUUUUAUUAUGUACGUUGAAAGGAAUGAUCAUACACAAACUGGAUGGGGAGAAAAAGUGGAUCUUCAGAGUUCUGAUGACAAAUAAAAAGAACUGCUCUGGUUUUAGGUUCCAAGCAAAAUUACAAAGCUUGCAAAUUGGAGUAUAAUUCCGCCCCCUUUAUUUUUAUUAAUGAGAAAUUAAAUCAUUAAUACAUAAGGCGUUUGGUAGCUUCAUAAGGAAUGAGGACAAGAAUGAAAUUACAUGGUAGACAAAUCGAGCGUACAUUUUGGUUUUUGUGUAGGCUGUUUGAAUGGAAAUCUUGAAGUUGUGGUUUACAGUUUUGGACACAUGUUAAUGUCUGUGUGGUUUUACUUGGGAAGUGGAGUGGAUUCAGGGUGCUAGUAUGGUGUGCCUGAUUGAGUUUAAAUGCAAACUUCAUUUGGAUUUUGGUUGAAAAGAAUUUAAAUUUGAGCAGAAAUUAACUACUGUUCUCUUUUUUUCAGUCAAAACAGUAGUGUCAAAACAGCCAGAAGAUGAUACCCAUUUUCUAGUUUUCUUGCUUUUUUUUGUAACUUGUUCCUAGACAAACUGUGGUGGUGUUUUCCUCUUAACUGUAAACCAUAAAGUAUUAUUUAAACUGUUAAAUGCUAAAACAUUGACAUGUGGAGUUUUUCUAUUUUUCACAGGUGAAAGGAAAAAAGGCACAAUCUUAUUAUGAAGUUUCAGGUCUGGCUUCAGUGGAAGAAGAGCAUGCUAGUGAUCCAGGAAAAGCUAAGCUAGCAUCCAAAGCUAAUAAGGCAAAGAUAAGAUAUGCUAAUACUUACAGGCUGGAGCCGUACAAUAGAGUUCGGGACUACUUAGUAAGAAACAAAGCUCAAGAGAUACUAAUGAGUAAACUUCAACAAGACGAAUAUGAUGGAGCUUCUAGUCUCUUCUUGUGUGCUUCAAUCUCAGAAGAAAUAUUAAAGGCUGUGAAGGAAUUGAACUUUGAUCGCUAUAAGUACGUGGUAUCAAUACUAAUUGUGGAAAAGGCAAAUCAGGCAAUGAAAGUUGCCAGCAGAUGGGUCUGGGAUGUUCAGAGAGACACUUGGGUUUCAGCUGAGUAUGAAACUAAAACAUUUUUUGCUCUGGCUUUGGUAGCGGCUUGUUAUUACGAGUAAUACUCUAAAAGCCACAGCUGGUUUUGGUAUAUUUAAAAAUUUCCAGAAUGUCAUUAUUUUAGUACUAAUUUUUGCCCUAAUGCUCUUGGUAUGUUGAAAUUGACAUACAGUUGUGAUAAUUUUGCUCAUUUUUCUCUGUUUAAAAAAAACCCCAACAAAUGCAAGAAAAGGAUGGUUUUGAAA